AUUCUGGUUGAUCCUACCAGUGAUAUACGCUCGUCUCAAAGGUUAAGCCAUGCAUGUCUAAGUACAAGCUUCCUAGAAAGUGAAACCGCAUAAGGCUCAGUAUAACAGCUAUAAUUUACAAGAUCCUCAUCCAAACAGUUACUUGGAUAACUGUGGAAAAGCCAGAGCUAAUACAUGCAUUAUGCCGGGACUGUUGGCCUCCGGGUCGGCGGAACUGGUGCACCUUAUUAGUUAAACCAAUCGCCUCCGGGCGCUUUGAGUUGAAAUCUGGAUAAGGAUGCCGAUCGUACGGUCGCUUGCGACUGACGACAGAUCUUUCAAAUGUCUGCCCUAUCAACUAUUGAUGGUAGUGUAGAGGACUACCAUGGUUGCGACGGGUAACGGGGAAUCAGGGUUCGAUUCCGGAGAGGGAGCCUGAGAAAUGGCUACCACAUCCAAGGAAGGCAGCAGGCGCGUAAAUUACCCAAUCCCGGCACGGGGAGGUAGUGACGAGAAAUAACAAUAUGGACCUCUCUAACGAUGGUCCAUAAUUGGAAUGAGUUGAGCAUAAAUCCUUUUGCAAGGAUCAAGUGGAGGGCAAGUCUGGUGCCAGCAGCCGCGGUAAUUCCAGCUCCACUAGCGUAUAUUAAAGUUGUUGCGGUUAAAACGUUCGAAGUUGAUACCCCGUCCAGACUCGCGUCCGUCGCGGGCGCCCGGCCUCUCGGUUGGGACCGUCCGUGUACGCGCUCGCGGCUGCGACUCACAAUGGUGUACCUGGGCGUUCUACUCCGUGACGGGUCAGGACUUGUCGCCGCGACCUCGUCGGUCAAGGUCUUGUUCGACCCAGCUU
rnacentral:ncRNA from 1 species